UGAGUAACACGUAUCCAACCUGCCGUCUACUCUUGGCCAGCCUUCUGAAAGGAAGAUUAAUCCAGGAUGGCAUCAUGAGUUCACAUGUCCGCAUGAUUAAAGGUAUUUUCCGGUAGACGAUGGGGAUGCGUUCCAUUAGAUAGUAGGCGGGGUAACAGCCCACCUAGUCAACGAUGGAUAGGGGUUCUGAGAGGAAGGUCCCCCACAUUGGAACUGAGACACGGUCCAA
rnacentral:rRNA from 1 species